rnacentral:lncRNA from 1 species
GCCAGCUCACCGCCCCGAGUCCACCAGGCUCCGUCCGCCCGGGGAGCCCCUGCGGCCCCGCCGGUACCGCACACUCCUGUUGAGGGACUGAUUCACGAAGAAGGCAGCUCCGGCCUAUAGCCGCAGAUAGACAUGUGUAGAGUGGCCCUCCCCUCCUCGGGAGGGGCCCGAGGGCCUGGGCGCUGAUUCUGGGGACUCGCAGAGCACGCAGACCCCUGUGCGGGGAGCUUUGCCGGACACGCUGCGGCGAUGGGGUGGGUGUUUCCCCCAUUUGCAAGGCCUCUGGUUUAUCGCCGAUUUGCCCCGGGACACACAUGGAAGAAUCAUUCUGGUGCCUGAGCACUUCCGGCUCAUCAACUCUGCUUGGAGCAGAGCUGGGUGUGUCUGAUGCCAGCUGUACCGCUGGCGUAUUUCAUCCGUCAUAAACGAGGCCCCCAGAGCUUAAUCACCUGCGCUUCCCUGUGGCACCGGAGCAGGGUGAAUUGAAUAUUGUUGCUUUUGUUUGGGGAGAUAGCAGAGGCUGAAGGACUGUCAGCAGCUGAUAAUGACUCAAAUCACGCUCCUGUGAAAUGGAAAUGGCUGGAGAGACAGAGGAGGCUGCGGGAGAUGGCAGGCCGAGCACGAGGAGGAGGGCCGGUGUAAACAGAGGGCCAGGCAGGCGGCCCCUCUGGAGUUCGAACCGAGUUGACUUCCAGAGGGGCUCAUCGUCAUGGAGCUCAUGCAGACCACGUGACCAGCAAGUUACAUAAACAGGGAAACAGCAGACCCGAGACCGCGGCGGCAGGGGGAGGCUUGCCCGGCAUCUCUUGCCAUGGGGAGGCAGGGUCUGCAGACCUGCUGAAUCCUCCCUCUGAGGAUGGGGCACAGCGUGUCUCUGAGCCCCCCCGGCACCCCUGUGUGGCCAUGAAGAAGCAGAAGGCUCAGAAAGGGUCAGCCAGAGAUGUGCGGCUGGUUAUUUCUGAUCGAGGACCAAGCAGACCUCAAGCAAACAAAAAGGAAAACAAUGAUUAUUUCACACUGAUAGGAGACAGAAUCUGUAAAAGUAAAAAAAAAAAAAUUACAGAACAGAUGAUCAAAUAUCAAAACACACAGAACUGGAGAAGCCACUUGGAAAAACGAGUGUCAAUGAAACCGUAGUAACACCCUUGGCGUCUGAGCGUGACUGUGCAGUGUGCGGUCAGAUGCCGGCAGAACACUCAGAGAAGUGACCUGGCCGUGGCGAUCCCAGGCUGCACCCGGACAGCUCCACCAUCGUGUCUGACACUCACUGAAACAACCUGGAAGUCGAUACGAUCCCAGAGACGGCAGAUGGACCGAACUCUGGGCUCUGGGGUGUGGGGAGUCCGUGGCGUUGGCUUACAGCCCUGGCCGAGGAGGUUUUGCUGUUGUCACUUUGUGUCCAGACUCCAGCCCUGCUGAAUAGUUAUCCUGACGGCACUCCAGACACGACCCUGGGCCGAAGCGGCGCUUCCUGAGCAGCCAAGCCUUAAAGCAGCAUGAAUGUUCCUUCAACCAGGAAGUUAAGAACAGAAUGGAGUAUCCUGAAUAACGCAUGAGCAAGCACUAUCAAGGAAAAAUAAUAAGAAGUAUAUGAGUUGGAAAAGGGUAGACUCUAUAAACAUUCCUCAUGCUGUAUACUUCAGAAAUUAGAAUGUCUAAAUUCUUAAGGAUUCUAACCAGACAGGGGACUAAAGCAUAGUUACGGCAUAUAUGAGGGUUGCAUUUAUACACGUAAGCUGGAUACGGCGGUAAAUGCAAACUGAUGAGCUGGAGGACAAACCUCUGGUUAGGGGAUGUGAUAUCAGAAAAAUGUGCGCUCAGGUUGAUUCUAAGAGGGGAGCCCCCGGGUUUCUAGGCGCCCACCUCCCCAGGCUCAGGAGAAGAGGGCUGAAUGACUGAGGGUCUUGUCGGAGGCGGGAACUCUAGAGAGGGGGGAAAUGCCUCGGUAAACUGCCAGUCGGAUGUCGGGAAAGCCAGUGCCCAGUGAGCGGACAGUCUGAUGGGCUUGUUGGACUGAAUGGAUAGGUGGCGAAUGGCUUCGGAAGCGUCCAGAGCUACACCGAUGCGUGGCUCUCAAUCCCAGUGAGGUCUUCCGUGCUUCUGGAAGGCUCAGCCGCCAUGGAAGGAGACUGUUACCUGGCGGGUAUCGAGCACAUCCUUGCUCUCAGGAGAGCCCUCUUGGAGAGCCCAGCUGCUCAGGUGGGCUCCUGAUGGCCAGGGGGCACCUGGGGAGCCCUCAGGUUGGCGGUGGCAGCAAGGCCUGCCGCCCCAUCCCGUCAACCUCUGCCCAGGCUCUCCGGGUCACGGCCCGUGACCGGCUGGUCCCCCGCUGCCCGUGGAUGACGAGCGAGCCUGCCUUCCUGAGCACCGGAGCCUGAGCUUGCCCUUCUCCCACUCUGGCCGCUCAGACGACGGCCCAGCUACACCCACCUGGCCACCCAGGAGAGCCGUGGGCACCGCUCGGCUUGCUCCAUCCGCGCACGUGGGCCACGCACCUGCCUGGGGCUGCCCCCCACCCUCCAGCCAGGAACGUGCUUCCCGGGAGCGUCCACCAGCCCCAGGCCUGCCUGCCCGCAACACGCCCAGGGCUGCACUUUCCCCGUUUGUCACCUCUGUGGCGGUUCCUCGGGGACCAUCCUCUCCGGCCGAGGGCGGAGCGAGGGGCCGAGUCAGGGAGAUAAGCACAGGCCACCUCCCCUGCUCUGUCUUUUUUGUGCUUUCAUUAAAUGAUAAAGGAA